rnacentral:rRNA from 1 species
AUUGAACGCUGGCGGCAUGCCUUACACAUGCAAGUCGAACGGUAACAGGUCUUCGGAUGCUGACGAGUGGCGAACGGGUGAGUAAUACAUCGGAACGUGCCCGAUCGUGGGGGAUAACGGAGCGAAAGCUUUGCUAAUACCGCAUACGAUCUACGGAUGAAAGCAGGGGACCGCAAGGCCUUGCGCGGACGGAGCGGCCGAUGGCCGAUUAGGUAGGUGGUGGGAUAAAAGCUUACCAAGCCGACGAUCUGUAGCUGGUCUGAGGGGACGACCAGCCACACUGGGACUGAGACACGGCCCAGACUCCUACGGGAGGCAGCAGUGGGGAAUUUUGGACAAUGGGCGAAAGCCUGAUCCAGCCAUGCCGCGUGCAGGAUGAAGGCCUUCGGGUUGUAAACUGCUUUUGUACGGAACGAAAAGACUCUUUCUAAUAAAGAGGGUCCAUGACGGUACCGUAAGAAUAAGCACCGGCUAACUACGUGCCAGCAGCCGCAGUAACAC